rnacentral:rRNA from 1 species
UGCUGGAGGUAUCAGAAGUGCGAAUGCUGACAUAAGUAACGAUAAAGCGGGUGAAAAGCCCGCUCGCCGGAAGACCAAGGGUUCCUGUCCAACGUUAAUCGGGGCAGGGUGAGUCGACCCCUAAGGCGAGGCCGAAAGGCGUAGUCGAUGGGAAACAGGUUAAUAUUCCUGUACUUGGUGUUACUGCGAAGGGGGGACGGAGAAGGCUAUGUUAGCCGGGCGACGGUUGUCCCGGUUUAAGCAUGUAGGCGGAGGUUCCAGGUAAAUCCGGUACCUUUUAACGCUGAGGUGUGAUGACGAGGCACUACGGUGCUGAAGUAACAAAUGCCCUGCUUCCAGGAAAAGCCUCUAAGCAUCAGGUAACAUUAAAUCGUACCCCAAACCGACACAGGUGGUCAGGUAGAGAAUACCAAGGCGCUUGAGAGAACUCGGGUGAAGGAACUAGGCAAAAUGGUGCCGUAACUUCGGGAGAAGGCACGCUGGUGUGUAGGUGAAGCCCCUGCGGGUGGAGCUGAGACCAGUCGAAGAUACCAGCUGGCUGCAACUGUUUAUUAAAAACACAGCACUGUGCAAACACGAAAGUGGACGUAUACGGUGUGACGCCUGCCCGGUGCCGGAAGGUUAAUUGAUGGGGUUAUCCGUAAGGAGAAGCUCUUGAUCGAAGCCCCGGUAAACGGCGGCCGUAACUAUAACGGUCCUAAGGUAGCGAAAUUCCUUGUCGGGUAAGUUCCGACCUGCACGAAUGGCGUAAUGAUGGCCAGGCUGUCUCCACCCGAGACUCAGUGAAAUUGAACUCGCUGUGAAGAUGCAGUGUACCCGCGGCAAGACGGAAAGACCCCGUGAACCUUUACUAUAGCUUGACACUGAACAUUGAGCCUUGAUGUGUAGGAUAGGUGGGAGGCUUUGAAGCGUGGACGCCAGUCUGCGUGGAGCCAACCUUGAAAUACCACCCUUUAAUGUUUGAUGUUCUAACGUAGGCCCCUGACCGGGGUUGCGGACAGUGUCUGGUGGGUAGUUUGACUGGGGCGGUCUCCUCCCAAAGAGUAACGGAGGAGCACGAAGGUUAGCUAAUCCUGGUCGGACAUCAGGAGGUUAGUGCAAUGGCAUAAGCUAGCUUGACUGCGAGCGUGACGGCGCGAGCAGGUGCGAAAGCAGGUCAUAGUGAUCCGGUGGUUCUGAAUGGAAGGGCCAUCGCUCAACGGAUAAAAGGUACUCCGGGGAUAACAGGCUGAUACCGCCCAAGAGUUCAUAUCGACGGCGGUGUUUGGCACCUCGAUGUCGGCUCAUCACAUCCUGGGGCUGAAGUAGGUCCCAAGGGUAUGGCUGUUCGCCAUUUAAAGUGGUACGCGAGCUGGGUUUAGAACGUCGUGAGACAGUUCGGUCCCUAUCUGCCGUGGGCGCUGGAGAAUUGAGGGGGGCUGCUCCUAGUACGAGAGGACCGGAGUGGACGCAUCACUGGUGUUCGGGUUGUCAUGCCAAUGGCACUGCCCGGUAGCUAAAUGCGGAAGAGAUAAGUGCUGAAAGCAUCUAAGCACGAAACUUGCCCCGAGAUGAGUUCUCCCUGAGACUUUAAGUCUCCUGAAGGAACGUUGAAGACGACGACGUUGAUAGGCCGGGUGUGUAAGCGCAGCGAUGCGUUGAGCUAACCGGUACUAAUGAACCGUGAGGCUUAACCUUACAACGCCGAAGCUGUU